rnacentral:rRNA from 1 species
GACAGAGGGUGCAAACGUUGCUCGGAAUCACUGGGCGUAAAGGGCGUGUAGGCGGGACGGUAAGUCGGGCGUGAAAUCCCUAGGCUCAACCUAGGAACUGCACUCGAAACUACCAUUCUUGAGUGUCGGAGAGGAAAGCGGAAUUCCUGGUGUAGAGGUGAAAUUCGUAGAUAUCAAGAGGAACACCUGAGGUGAAGACGGGUUGCGUGGGCCGACACGUGACGCUGGAUGCGCGAAAGCCAGGGGAGCAAAGCGGG